CAGUAGCCACGGUAAUACGGAGGGUGCAAGCGUUGUCCGGAUUUAUUGGGUUUAAAGGGUGCGUAGGCGGCCUAAUAAGUCAGUGGUGAAAGCCUCCAGCUUAACUGGAGAACUGCCAUUGAUACUGUUAGGCUUGAGUAUACUUGAGGUAGGCGGAAUUGACAGUGUAGCGGUGAAAUGCAUAGAUAUUGUCAAGAACACCAAUUGCGAAGGCAGCUUACUAAAUUAUAACUGACGCUGAGGCACGAAAGUGUGGGUAUCAAACAGGAUUAGAUACCCCCGUAGUCCCUGUCUCUUAUAC
rnacentral:rRNA from 1 species